rnacentral:misc_RNA from 1 species
UCUCCGUAGGUGAACCUGCGGAAGGAUCAUUAUUGAAUGAACUUGGUAUGAUUGUUGCUGGCCAUCUGGGCAUGUGCACGUCUGCCAUCUUUAUCUCUCCACCUGUGCACAUAUUGUAGGUCUGGAAUAAAUUUGUGAGGCAACUCAGUAGUGGGGAAUGCUGCUGCGAAGUGGCUUUGCCUGUAAUUUCAGAUCUAUGUUUUCAUAUACACCAUAAAAAUGUAACAGAAUGUAUUAAUGGGUCUUGUACCUAUAAACUAUAUACAACUUUCAGCAACGGAUCUCUUGGCUCUC